AAAGGGUGCGUAGGCGGCCUGUUAAGUCAGGGGUGAAAGACGGUAGCUCAACUAUCGCAGUGCCCUUGAUACUGAUGGGCUUGAAUUGACUAGAGGUAGGCGGAAUGUGACAAGUAGCGGUGAAAUGCAUAGAUAUGUCACAGAACACCGAUUGUGAAGGCAGCUUACUAUGGUCUUAUUGACGCUGAGGCACGAAAGCGUGGGGAUCAAACAGGAUUAGAUACCCUUGU
rnacentral:rRNA from 1 species